UACGGAAGGGGCAAGCGUUGUUCGGAAUCAUUGGGCGUAAAGGGCGCGUAGGUGGUUCUGUAUGUCUACCGUGAAAGCGUACGGCUCAACCGUAUUUUGUCGGUGGAAACUGCAGGACUUGAGGCUGGGAGGGGCUGGUGGAAUUCCCUGUGUAGCGGUGAAAUGCGUAGAGAUGGGGGAGAACACUCGUGGCGAAGGCGGCCAGCUAGACCAGUUCUGACACUGAGGCGCGACAGCGUGGGGGGCAAACAGG
rnacentral:rRNA from 1 species